AGCAGCAGGAGCAACAGCCGCAGGAGCGUCAGCGUGGUGAAGCCACGGGGCUGCGGGGUCGUGGCCUGCACAUAUCGCUCCACUGCGUCGGCGAAGCUGAACUUGUCCGGCGCGUAGCCAAGCUGAGCGCGGGCCUUGGCAAUCUGGAAGCCUAGCGCGGUUCUGGACCUCUGGAGGCCUUGGAUGCAUUCUUGAACACCCGGAGAGUACGAAGGCUUCCUGCCUGUAGUGGGGAGCGGCUAUCCAGAAAAAUAUCUCCAAGGAAGGAUGUUGGCUUCCUGUUGCCAGCCCAAUACCAAUUGCAGCUGGCAGGGCCUCAAAAGCAGCCUUCCAGCACUCCCAGCUGCUUAAUUAAGUGUCCCUAAGAGAGGAAUUCAGUUAGGCACAGUGAUUCCUCUCUAAGUCGGAGCUGCAUUUGCCCUGUUUUCAAUUGGCCAGGGGCCCACCUGCUUCUAGGGUAAUAAAUGGCAGCUAUCGAUUGCAGAA